ensembl:lncRNA
UUUGCUAUCCCAUGAGGCCAUGGGAGCAGAGGGUUCCUCAGAUUUGCAUUGCCCUUUUAAAGUGUAACUGCUGUAUAGGUAUUAAGAAAGUUCCUUGUGGUUAAAUUAGUGUUUUUAACAAUAUCGCAGUGAAUUAUUUUUGUGGUUGAGGUUAGUAUGUCAUGGUUUAAAAAACAUAUGGGUCAAAGGUCAAUGCUAGAAUGCUCAGGAAUAUUACAUACCUGCAUACCUUAAAAUUACACUUUGUACUGAUUUUUUUGUCUUUCUUUCUUUUUCUUUUUAUUUAUUACAAAAAUCAAAUGAAACUGGAGUAUUUUUUUUUUACUGACUAAUCUAUAACAUAGCAGCAAAGUUAAAAGUGCUGUAAAAUGUAUUUUUAAAUACUUUAGUGAUUUAUGUCAUUAAUGUUCUUUUAGUUUAUAUUAAAAUAAAUGCAAAAAGAAAUACAGAUUAUCAAAACAUUAUCCAUUCAAGAGUUUCUUAAUUCAUUUUAAAAAAAAAAUGCAUUUUGCUCAGUUUCAUUGUGACACAAGCACUUUUCACUGGCUAGCAAUGAUCAGUCAUUUAUAUUCAGUAUGAAGAGGCUUCAGUAAUGGCAGGAAAUGUUGUGAUAACAUAAAUAUGUCACAGGUGUGAGCCAGUAUGAAGCUAGUUUUUUCUUCAUUUUUUUAAAGAUACACAGAACAUGCAGACAGUCCUUGAAAUGGUUAGUGUCCAGUCACAUAUCAAUUACUCCCCUCUCAUACCAUCAUCAGAGACAUCAGUGAUAAAUCUAACAUGUCCUGGCCGAUGCCUAAUUGGCAGUGUGUGUUAACACAUGUUGUACUUUGUGUAUUUCACUGCUAGGCUCCUUCCUCUAAGGACAUACAUAUAUUUUUAAAGGCAAUAUUAGAAUGUGCUUCAUGAAACAACUCCUAAAUUAACAGAUCUUAUUCAAGUGAAAAUAUUGAAUAUUACUGAAUAAAAGACAAACAAACUAUUAUAUUUGUGUUAAUAAUAUCAAUAUACUA